GUGAUAACUGUAACUUUUGUGACAAAACUACUAUUUCAAUAACCAAUCUGAAGAAAUAAGAAGACUGCAAGAUGCAGAAAUAAGAAGACUGGAAAAUGAAAAAAUUGCACUUGAUGAAUGCAAAAGCUCCUCAGGAUUUCAUCAAAUCACUGAAAAACGCAACCAUUGAAGCAGUCCUCUCUAUUACAUUCGACCUACAACAAACACUUCCAACCCCAAAUUGGCCUGUGGCAUCUAGCUUUAUAAACACAAACUAUGGACCUAUAACUUUUGUAUACAUAACAUUAAAACCAGAACUUCCAAAAUGUAUGUGUGGGAUGAAACCACGGCAAAGCAUGGAUCUUGUGAAAUCACUAGCUCCAUCAUUCACUACUUAUGGGACACUGACAACAGCAUAAAA
rnacentral:lncRNA from 1 species